rnacentral:rRNA from 1 species
UACGUAGGGUGCAAGCGUUAUUCGGAAUUACUGGGCGUAAAGCGUGCGCAGGCGGUUUUGUAAGACAGGGGUGAAAUCCCCGGGCUUAACCUGGGAACUGCAUUUGUGACUGCAUAGCUAGAGUACGGUAGAGGGGGAUGGAAUUCCGCGUGUAGCAGUGAAAUGCGUAGAUAUGCGGAGGAACACCGAUGGCGAAGGCAAUCCCCUGGACCGGUACUGACGCUCAGGCACGAAAGCGUGGGGAGCAAACAGG